CCCGGCUCUCCCACCGCCUGGCUCUCCUACCCCCGGGCUCUCCCACCCCCAUCUCUCCCACUGACGGGCUCUCCCACCGACGGGUUCACUCCUUGCAGGCAGGCGCCGGGUUUCACCUGCUGCCUACCACGGGCCAGCAGCUUCUCGGAGCCCCCGCCCCCUGUCUUUCUGCGGGGACGUAUUUCCUAGGAGAGGUCGCAGCCCCUGAGGCUCUGGCGUACCUGGAGGGGGUCCCUGGGGGCCCUCUGGGAUUUGCUCCUGUGCCCCCCCCAUCCUGGUCAGCUCAGCGGGGGAGGCUGAGCUCUGUGACACCCCCCCCUCCGUCAUCCCUGCGCAGGUGCUGUCAGCCGGGCUUGGGUGGGGGGACUUCCCUGGACGGUCCCUCACCGGCCUGUCUUCCUUCCCGCCACGUAUCAGCAGGGACGUCUCUCCACGCGCCCCUCUCCCCGCGGGCGGCCCCGUCUCUUCUCCCGCGGGCGGCCCCACAAUCUGUGUGCCGUGUGCACGAGGAGGCUGCCUCCCGGAGCCCGGGCACCGGAUGCCACGGCCUGGCCGGCGCUGCUGCAGCUCUGGUGCCCCCUCCCAGCAGGCGCCCGUUACACCCUGAUGCCCCCCAGUACCCUGAGGCCCCCGGCACCCCGAGUCGCCCAUCCCCCUGCACCCGAGGGCUUGCACAGGCGCCCCCCGCCUGGCGCCCUGCUACGGAGGGACGUGUCCGUGAUGCCCCCGCGUGUCCACAGAGCGCACCCCUCUACCUGUGUCCCCGCCCCCCGCAGCCCGGUGUGCGGGAGAGCUCCGGGGCGGCUGCAGUGUCACGUCGGGGGGGGGGGGCNGGGGCCUCGGGGUGUAAGAGGGGGAGCCCCGCACGACCCGGUGCAGGUGUGUCGGAGAGCUCCGGGGCUGCUGCCAGAAGCGCUUCCCGCUCGUGGAGCCGUGUCCUCGUGUCCCGUGGGUUCACAGCGGCGGUCAGAUUUUAUGUAUUUCUCCUGGAGAGACACAGAGAGGCCGAGGGAGAAGCAGGCCCCCUGCAUGGACCCCCACUGGACUGGAUCCGGGACCCGGGGUCACGCCCUGGUCGGCGCAGGAGCAACGCGGGCGGCAGGAGAGUGUGUGCUGGAAGCAGCAGGGGCCGCCAAGGGACAUCCAGGCAGAGCACCAGAGAAGGGCAGGCACACUUGCCGUCGGAAGUGGCCAGAGAUGGGAGUCCUCUCCCUCCCCAGCUCACCAACCAUCACGACGGUCCUUCCAAACCCGACAGACGUGGAAAACUGAAGUGCAGGGAGGUUAAAGACCGCCCAGGAUCACACAGCUUCCGAGUCACCCCGGCUCUGAAGGUCCAGUAACACCUGCCAGAGUGGAAGGGCGCUGGGAAGAGUAACGAGCCCUAAUAACCAGCAGGAAUGGGGAGCAGGGAGCAGCUGCUUUCGCGGAGAUGAGUUUUACUCAUUACUCAGAGUCCCCUAAGGCCUGGCCGUGAAACACCCCUUCCUCCCGAGACACCUGCCGUGGCUCCCA
rnacentral:lncRNA from 1 species